CCUACGGGAGGCAGCAGUGGGGGAUAUUGCACAAUGGGGGAAACCCUGAUGCAGCGACGCCGCGUGAGUGAAGCAGUAUUUCGGUAUGUAAAGCUCUGUCAGCAGGGAAGAAAGUGACGGUACCUGCUUAAGAAGCCCCGGCGAACUACUUUCUAGCAGCCGCAGUAAUACGUAGGGGGCAAGCGUUAUCCGGCUUUACUGCGGGGAAAGGGGGCGUAGACGGCAGCACAAGUCUGGAGUGAAAUGCCGGGGCUUAACCCCGGAACUGCUUUGGAAACUUGGCAGCUAGAGUGCAGGAGAGGUAAGUGGAAUUCCUAGUGUAGCGGUGAAAUGCGUAGAUAUAUGGAAGAACACCAGUGGCGAAAGCGGCUCUCUGGUCUGUAACUGACGCUGAGGUUCGAAAGCGUGGGUAGCAAACAGGAUUAGAUACCCCAGUAGUC
rnacentral:rRNA from 1 species